rnacentral:lncRNA from 1 species
UAAAACUGCAUAAUACAACAAAAUUUUCUCAAAUUUUCAUUCUUCAUCUUUAUUUCACCAAAACAGAGCAAUAACUCUUCUUCAUUUUCUCAAACCCAAAUCCAUAUACAUUUCCAGCAAAAAAUCUAAACAACAAAGACAAUCUCUUAAAACAAUAGCACAAUUUAUGCAACCAAAAAUGCUUAAAAGGAGCAAUUCAAAUCCUCAAUCAAAUUGAAUAGCUUCCAGCUUUUCUUUACUCGACUCUCAUCCAGCUUUGCUUCCGAAAGAAAGCUCUUACCGACAGCAAAAGCGUC